rnacentral:tRNA from 1 species
GUGGGUGUAGCUCAACUGGUUAGAGCAUCGGACUGUGGCUCCGAGGGUUGGGGGUUCAAGUCCCCUCACUCACCCCA